GACAGAGGUGCCGAGCGUUAGGCGGAAUCACUGGGCUUAAAGCGUGUGUAGGCGGGCGGGCAAGUACCUUGUGAAAUCCCACGGCUCAACCGUGGAACGGCUGGGUAUACUGCCUGUCUUGAGCCAACUAGGGGCGAGCGGAACAGACGGUGGAGCGGUGAAAUGCGUAGAUAUCGUCUGGAACGCCGAAGGUGAAAACAGACUCGCUGGGGUUGUGCUGACGCUGAGACACGAAAGCCAGGGGAGCGAACGGG
rnacentral:rRNA from 1 species